CAAAAAGUAGCUUACAUUAAAGCACUUGACUUACAACCAAGAGACGCAACCUUGGCCUUUUUGA
rnacentral:tRNA from 2 species